GACAGAGGGUGCAAACGUUGUUCGGAAUUACUGGGCGUAAAGCGCGUGUAGGCGGCAAGGCAAGUCGGAUGUGAAAGCCCACGGCUCAACCGUGGAAGUGCACCCGAAACUGCCUAGCUAGAGUCUCGGAGAGGAAGGUGGAAUGCUUGGUGUAGAGGUGAAAUUCGUAGAUAUCAAGCGGAACACCGGUGGCGAAGGCGGCCUUCUGGACGAUGACUGACGCUGAGACGCGAAAGCGUGGGUAGCAAACAGG
rnacentral:rRNA from 1 species